AUUACAUCAUUGCAUUCUGGAUAUUAAUAGUUAUUACGGCAUUUAAUGUUGUGUUUUCUACGGAAAUGUAAUACGGCUUGAUAUAACUUCUAUACUGAUAUAUAGUUUGUCGUAAACACGCAUUGUCUAUGUCCUGGCGAAUGGUGGCGCUAUAAUAUUUAGUGCAGGGUUAAGCGAUACGUCAUUCUGUUCCAUGUUCCGCUUCCGCCAUUAGUUGUUUUUUUAUAUUGUUGAGCAGUUGUCAUAGUUAUCAUGAAUUCAAAGCGCACAUUUGUGUCUGCAUUUUGAGAUGAGAUUACACGUUUAGCUGAUGUUAUAUAGCUGGGGGUAGCAAGCUGUGUUGGUGCUAAACAUGAUUUAUGUAAGCGAUCGAAUUUUGGACAGAAUAUAUUCUCUGAUUCUCCUGGCAGUCGUACUUCUAUCCUGGGGAUAUGUGAUCUACGGAACAAGGAUUGCAGCGCAAUGGCAACUGGAUAAAAAACUGAAGAUGCAAAACUGAAAGCUCAGUUCAACAAGGGACAACAUUCAGGAACACUUUUGGACAUUCAGGAACACUUUUGGAAUUUCUACAGCAAGAUUAAUGGACAGCUGUAAUGGAAAGAUUUGGACCACAAAUUGGCGUGGACUCGGAGGACGUUCCACAAUGUGUCUGGCCGUCACAGAACAACCAUUGCCUGAUCUGGUCAUCAACCCAGUUGUGUGUGAUGUCUUUUUGGUUUCUUUCUUUUUACGAGAAUGACUUUUAAAUCCUAAAUAUUGAGUAGCAUCUGAAUGCCAUGAACAUUUUGGCUCCCAGUAUUUCCCCAGCAGAUUGGUAAAAUAUAUUUUCUUAAUGUAAACAUUAAAAUAACAUUUCUUGGAAAAAUCAA